rnacentral:lncRNA from 1 species
AGGAUUUUCUAUAUGAAGAUGUGAAGAAGAGAGAGAGAGACAUUAAGAAAAAUUCCCAGUGACUCACAAACAGUAAAUAGCAGACCCAGGCCUUUAAUCCAGCUGCACUUCUCAGACUCAGCACAUUGCUCCUGUUGCUCGAUCAUCUGACCAAAGAAGAUGGAAAUCCAGCAGGUUUUAUCCAAAGGAACUGAGUCUUUGGUGGACCAACCCAGGGGGCCACAAUCAGAAGGUUGGUGACAUCAAACUGUGAAGAAAAGUAGCCCUGCCUGCUUGUGAACGAGCAUAGGUAAUUGACAGAAAUAUGCUCUUUCUGGCUUGUUUUUGUUUGUUGUAAACUAUUUGCUAUUUCUAAAAACUGUAUGUAUUUAUGGUAUAAAACAUGAUUUUUUUUUGAAAACUGGGGAUUUGUACAUUGAUCAUGAACCCCACAAGGUAGAUGCUCUCACCACCCCCUUUUUGUACAGAAAGAAAGUGAAGCACAGAAAGGUAAAGUUGCCCAAGGUCAGGUAACUAGUGGGCAUCCAAGCUGCCAUUCAAACUCGGCAGCCUGCUUCCACAGUCCGUGCUCUUCCUCAUGUGGCCUCUGGCAUUUGUCUCUGGAGUAAUUUCACACUUUCUCCUUUCCAAGGGAUCUUGAAACAACAUGAUGUUUUGAUGUACAUAUACAUUGUGGAAUGGCUAAAUAAAGCUAAUUAACAUAGGCAUUAUCCACGAACAUCACCUUUUUUGCUGGUGAAAACAUUUAAAAGUUACUCAAAUCUGUUCUCUUAGCAGUGGCCUUUCUGACUUGUACUUCUUCGCUUCAGCUCAGUGCUUUUUGUCAGUUCUCUUAGUAUAUACAAGCCAAAAUCUUCUUAGUCCG